rnacentral:rRNA from 1 species
AGUCGAGCGGCAGCGACACAUUGACCCUUCGGGUGAUUAGUUGGGCGGCGAGCGGCGGACGGGUGAGUAAUGCCUGGGAACAUGCCUUAGUGUGGGGGAUAACCAUUGGAAACGAUGGCUAAUACCGCAUAAUCUCCUGUCUUUUACGAGNUGGGAGCAAAGAGGGGGACCUUCGGGCCUCUCGCGCUAAGAUUGGCCCAGGUGGGAUUAGCUAGUANGUGGGGUAACGGCUCACCUAGGCGACGAUCCCUAGCUGGUCUGAGAGGAUGAUCAGCCACACUGGAACUGAGACACGGUCCAGACUCCUACGGGAGGCAGCAGUGGGGAAUAUUGCACAAUGGGGGAAACCCUGAUGCAGCCAUGCCGCGUGUGUGAAGAAGGCCUUCGGGUUGUAAAGCACUUUCAGUCGUGAGGAAGGCGGUAUCGUUAACAGCGGUACCGUUUGACGUUAGCGACAGAAGAAGCACCGGCUAACUCCGUGCCAGCAGCCGCGGUAAUACGGAGGGUGCGAGCGUUAAUCGGAAUUACUGGGCGUAAAGCGCAUGCAGGCGGCUUGUUAAGCCAGAUGUGAAAGCCCGGGGCUCAACCUCGGAAUCGCAUUUGGAACUGGCAGGCUAGAGUCUUGUAGAGGGGGGUAGAAUUUCAGGUGUAGCGGUGAAAUGCGUAGAGAUCUGAA